GAUGAAGAACGUAGUGAAAUGCGAUAAGUAAUGUGAAUUGCAGAAUUCAGUGAAUCAUCGAAUCUUUGAACGCACAUUGCGCCCCCCGGCAUUCCGGGGGGCAUGCCUGUUCGAGCGUCUCCAGGACGAAUCCUCGCGCGAGUGAACGCGCGGUCGUGGCGGAGGUGGCGUGCCCGAGCAGGGCGGCCACCGCGCUGGAAUCCAUGGGCGGACGCCUGCCGCGUGGCCGAGCGUGAUAUGACGCAUUGGCGCUCGUGCGCGGCGAGGCUGCCAGCCCUGGCCCGUCUGUCGGGCGGUGUAGAUCACCACGUGGGAACUCCUCGAAUCAGGUAGGGAUACCCGCUGAACUUAAGCAUAUCAAUAAGCGGAGGA
rnacentral:misc_RNA from 1 species